rnacentral:rRNA from 1 species
UACGAAGGGGGCUAGCGUUGUUCGGAAUUACUGGGCGUAAAGCGCGCGCAGGCGGCUAUCCAAGUCAGUGGUGAAAACCCGGAGCUCAACUCCGGAACUGCCAUUGAAACUGUUUAGCUUGAGGAUGAGAGAGGUGAGUGGAAUUCCCAGUGUAGAGGUGAAAUUCGUAGAUAUUGGGAAGAACACCGGUGGCGAAGGCGGCUCACUGGCUCAUUACUGACGCUCAGGCGCGAUAGCGUGGGGAGCAAACAGG